GGGGAAUCUUGGACAAUGGGCGCAAGCCUGAUCCAGCCAUGCCGCGUGAGUGAAGAAGGCCUUCGGGUUGUAAAGCUCUUUUGUCAGGGACGAUAAUGACGGUACCUGAAGAAUAAGCCCCGGCAAACUUCGUGCCAGCAGCCGCGGUAAUACGAAGGGGGCUAGCGUUGUUCGGAAUUACUGGGCGUAAAGCGCACGUAGGCUGACAUUUAAGUCAGGGGUGAAAUCCCGAGGCUCAACCUCGGAACUGCCCUUGAUACUGGGUGUCUCGAGUCCGGAAGAGGUUAGUGGAAUUCCCAGUGUAGAGGUGAAAUUCGUAGAUAUUGGGAAGAACACCAGUGGCGAAGGCGGCUAACUGGUCCGGUACUGACGCUGAGGUGCGAAAGCGUGGGGAGCAAAC
rnacentral:rRNA from 1 species